UACGUAGGGUGCGAGCGUUGUCCGGAAUUACUGGGCGUAAAGAGCUCGUAGGUGGUUUGUCGCGUUGUUCGUGAAAACUCACAGCUUAACUGUGGGCGUGCGGGCGAUACGGGCAGACUGGAGUACUGCAGGGGAGACUGGAAUUCCCGGUGUAGCGGUGAAAUGCGCAGAUAUCAGGAGGAACACCGGUGGCGAAGGCGGGUCUCUGGGCCGAUACUGACGCUGAGGAGCGAAAGCGUGGGGAGCGAACAGG
rnacentral:rRNA from 1 species